rnacentral:rRNA from 1 species
UGGUUAUAAUAGCAGAGAAGAUACACCUGUUUCCAUUCCGAACACAGAAGUUAAGUUCUCUAGCGCUGAUGGUACUUGGUCCCCUACGAGUCACCAUUUGUGGGAUCAUAGCUCAGCUGGGAGAGCACCUGCCUUACAAGC